ensembl:lncRNA
GUUGAAGCUUUGCUGGUGAAACUAUUCCUCAGUAUUCCUCAUUUGCCUCAUUUACAGGGCUUAACGUACAAUUUACCAUCUAGUACAUCAUAGCAAUUGUCAAUAUGAAGAAAAUUGUAAUAAUAUAUAUUAAUGGCCUGCCUCUAUUCUUUUAAAAGAGAUAUGGUCCGCUGAUGUAAGUUCGGUGAAGAUAUUUUGGUAUCAGCUCCCCUCAUCCCUUAUCUUUGACAGAAAGAGGAUGUAAAAGAAUUUACCUAUAGGAAACAGAUAGGAGCUGAUGCAAUGAAGAUAGAAUGGGUCUUCAUGUUUCCUUUGCAUGCCAAAAAGCCAGUGGUACAUGUGCCUUCGAAUAUGGGCUUAGAAGCAAAUAUUCAUAAAUCCCUAUGCUCCUUCCACAUGGACCCUCCAUUGCAUAAGACAACUUUCAGUGAGGAUAGCUUCAAGUCUGUGAGGGAAGUUGUCUUCUAA